rnacentral:ncRNA from 1 species
GUGUAUUUGGAAAUAUCCCUAAUACAGGAUCACUUGGAUCCGUCGGCGAUGACGAGCGCGAAAGAAUGCGAAAAGUCCUCACGGAAUGCUCUAAUUAUGAGAUAAUCUCAUGGAUACUCCCUGGACUUAAGCAUAUCAUUAAGGGAAGGAAAAGAAACUAACUAGGAUUCCGUUAGUAGUGGCGAAUGAACACGGAAGAGCUCCAAUGGUAAAGCCUAAGUGCUGUUGUAAUGUAGCCUCCGAAAACAUUCUGGAAAGGAUGACCACAGUGGGUGAUAGUCCCAGAGGAGGAUGUAAAGAAUAGAGUAGUGCUGCUUGGUAGUGCAGUAUGAAGAGGAGGUAGAAACUUCUAAAGCUAAAUACAGACGGAUACCGAUAGAGAAGAAGUAGUGCGAACGAAAGUUGAAAAGAUCUCAUCUAGAGAAUGAAAAGUGAAAGUAUUAGGGCGUAAGCUGAUGACAUCAGACCCGUAUUGAAACACGGACCAAGGAGACUUUGAGUAUAGCGAGGCGAAGGAUGUGAAGUCCCCACCCGCGAGAAAUCUACAAGUUAUACUGAUAGGACCCGAAAGGCAGUGAACUAUACCUGCUCUGCUUGACGCCACGGCAAACCGUGGUUGAGGAGCUAAGUCGUAUUGAUGUUCAACUCAUUGACAAGAAGUGGGUAUAGGGGGCGAAAGACCAAUCAAACUGCCUGGUACCUGGUUCCGCCCAAAUGUCUCUCAGACAGCGGUGUCUGCCAUUAGAAAAUCCGGUAAAAAGAAAGUCAACUUUUUAACAAACUCCCAAAGCCGUCUUUUGUUGCAAUUUCAUCCCCCUGGAUUCUUUUUUAAAAAAUAAUGGGGGCCCCUUUGGGGAAAAAAUUGCCGGGCCAAAAAGGGG